rnacentral:rRNA from 1 species
UACGUAGGAUGCGAGCGUUAUCCGGAUUUAUUGGGUUUAAAGGGUGCGUAGGCGGAUCGUUAAGUCAGUGGUCAAAUUGAGGGGCUCAACCCCUUCCCGCCAUUGAAACUGGCGAUCUUGAGUGGAAGAGAAGUAUGCGGAAUGCGUGGUGUAGCGGUGAAAUGCAUAGAUAUCACGCAGAACCCCGAUUGCGAAGGCAGCAUGCCGGCUUCCGACUGACGCUGAGGCACGAAAGCGUGGGGAUCAAACAGG